rnacentral:rRNA from 1 species
AGUCUGGCCUGCCCAAUGAUUUUUGAAUGGCCGCAGUAUUUUGACUGUGCAAAGGUAGCAUAAUCAUUAGUUUUUUGAUUGAAAGCUGGAAUGAAAGGUUUGAUGAGAAAAUGACUGUCUCUGAGUUAAUGUUUUAGAAUUUCAAUUUUAAGUUAAAAAGCUUAAAUUUUUUAUAAAGACGAGAAGACCCUAUAGAGUUUUAUAUUUUUCUUUAUUUAGUGAUUAAGGGUUUUAUUUUUUUAUAUACGGAAGAAUAUUUUGUUGGGGUGAUGGAAAAAUUUGAUAAACUUUUUUUUGUUUGUUACAUUAAUAUAUGAUUUUUUGAUCCUUAUUUUUGGAUUAUAAGAUUAAAUUACCUUAGGGAUAACAGCGUAAUUUUUUUUGGAGAGUUCUUAUCGAUAAAAAAGUUUGCGACCUCGAUGUUGGAUUAAAAUUAAAUUUUGGUGUAGAAGCUAAAAAUUUUAGGUCUGUUCGACCUUUAAAAUUUU